rnacentral:rRNA from 1 species
UACGGAGGGUGCAAGCAUUAAUCGGAUUUAUUGGGCGUAAAGGGCGCGUAGGCGGAAGUGAAAGUCAGAUGUGAAAUCCCGGGGCUCAACCUCGGAACAGCAUUUGAAACUCCUCUUCUAGAGGGUAGGCGGAGAAAACGGAAUUCCACAAGUAGCGGUGAAAUGCGUAGAUAUGUGGAAGAACACCGGUGGCGAAGGCGGUUUUCUAGCUUAUUUCCUGACGCUGAGGCGCGAAA